UGCCCCCACAGUUCUGUUAGGAAUAGGAAGAAAACCUCAUCCUAACAUGAGCUGAAAUUGAUUGUGUCAGGAACAGGAGGAGAACCUCAUCCUGACAUAAAUGAAGAUCUAGUCGUUUAAGACCGAAUGAGGGGAAGAGUCCUUCAGUGGCCCUUCUACACCCCUACAAUCUCGUUAUGAGUAGAGAAAAAACCCUCACCCCAAACAUAAAAAAAGAGAGAGAAAAAGAGAAAGCGACGAGCUACACCAGAGAUAAGGGAG
rnacentral:lncRNA from 1 species